rnacentral:rRNA from 1 species
UUGGGGGAUGUAUAGCUCUCUUAUGAGGCUAGUUAAGUUUUGAGUAGUAAAGAUAAGUUUUAAGUAGUAAAAUGUUAUGAAAAAAACAUAAUACCAACUACGUUGGAUAAAGUUCUAGAUAGAAUACUGAUUAUGACUAUUUUCUAUCUACAUGUCUUGACCAAAUUACGUGCCAGCAGUCGCGGUAAUACGUAGAAGACUAGUGUUAUUCGUAUGUAAUAGGUUUAAAGGGUACCUAGACGGUAUUACUAACCCACAACAGGGAAAUAGUUUUUGCUAGAGUUUUAUGUGAGAAGGAAGUACUUACGGAGUAGAGAUGAAAUCCUUUAAUACCCUAAGGACUGGUAACGGCGAAGGCAUCCUUCUAUGUAAAAACUGACGUUAAGGGACGAAGGCUUGGGUCGCGAAAAGGAUUAGAUACCCUUGUAGUCCAUGCAGAUAAUGAUGAAUGCCAUAUGCUAGAUUUUUUUUAGUGUAUAAAUGAAAGUGUAAGCAUUCCACCUCAAGAGUACUGUGGCAACGCUGGAACUGAAAUCAUUAGACCGUUUCUGAGACCAGUAGUGAAGUAUGUUAUAUAAUUCGGUAGCCCUCGAAAAACCUUACCACAGCUUGAAUAAUGUCAAAAGUUAAUCAAGGUAAUUUUAUACUUUAUCUACCCCCCCCCUUCAUUGAGGUCACUACGUGAAGGGGGGGGGGGAGGAAGGAGUAUAUAAUUACCUUUACUAACAAUGAUAUUACACGUGUUGCACGGUUGUCUACAGCUAAUGUCGUGAGACUUGGUUAGCUCCAUUUAAUUAGCGUAAACCCCGACUUUAUUUUUUAAUUAUUAUCAUAAAGUAGUCCAUUCACAAUAUCGAAAUUGAUAA